rnacentral:piRNA from 1 species
UGCCAUGAUCCGCUUAGACUUUCUUUGAUGU